rfam:Picea glauca, whole genome shotgun sequence.
GGGUGCAAUCAUACUAGUGUUAAUGCACCGGAUCCCAUCAGGACUCCUCAGUUAAGCGCACUUGGGUUAGAGUAGUACUGGGAUGGGUGACCUCCCGGGAAGUCCUAGUGUUGCACCCU